rnacentral:lncRNA from 1 species
CUCUGCCUGGCUGUGUGACCCUUGGGCCGAACCCAGAAGCCACACUGAGUGGGGGAGGCACCUAAGCCUCUUUGCAGCUCUGCAGGAAACUGAGUGACCCACAGGAAAAUGUAUCGCAGCAGACGAAAGUGCACCUUCACUUCAAGUUUGAAGGCCUGGUCGCCGGAGCAGAGCAGCCGAGAGCCCGGAGACGACCCCGCGCGGAGCUGGGGUUCAGUGCGGGUGCCAGACGCGUCCGCCUGGGUCUCCAGCCCUUCCGUGUGGGCGGCGCAGCCCCCGCCCCCUGCCCCAUUGGCUGCCGCCCUGCGGCCCAAAUAAAUCAGCGGGGACAGGCCGCGCCAGGCCCGGCUGCCGAGGCAGAGCUCGGCCAGGGCCAGCGGGGCCCCAGCGGCCCCGGAGAGGCCGGAGGAGAGAGGAGGACCUCUGAAGAAAGAAAAACAAAAGCAAGGAAAAGAAAGCAGCAAAUCUGAGAAACACGAUUUAAAAAAUACAAUUGGAUUCAAAGGAAAUAAAGCGUCCAGAACAUUUACGUAACUGCUUACACACGAGCUUUGCAAAAUGCAGUCCGUUUCAACACUUGGUCCAACUCGCCACGGGACCGGGACCGAAGCGCUGCGAAACCUUGGACGCCGCGGUGGGAACCUUUCUGGGGGCUGCAGUCGAUCGAACUCGGGUUAAAAUUUAAAGCCCUGGAUCCGGCUCCGUGGCCGGUCUUCCCUCCAUUCCGGAGUUUUCCACCUUUACCCUUUCCCAACUCGCUGCGACUGGGACCCGCGCGGGGCCGGGGGCUGGCGAGGAGCGACGUCAUAAAAGUGACUAAAUCGGGCGAGAACGGUUUAUGGACUUUCUCGGUAGCAAUUUAAAAUUCAGGUCUUCAGCAGCAAUUUACAACGAAUGAGAAACGGAGAAUUUCCGUCCACUUCCUGGAUUCCCCAUCCCGCACUGCCGCCCCCACCCUCCCCAGGUUCCCAACUCACGUUCCAGGACCAGGAAACCCUGCUUGCGAAGAGCCCUCGCCGUCCCUGCGAGCCCCGCUUUACCACGAACCUCCCUACCCCAGUUCAGCUCUGCCCAGGCGCCUCUCCCUUCCCCAACUGGAAAAGCACAGAAAUAAAUAUUAAAAAAAAAC